rnacentral:rRNA from 1 species
CGAAGGGUGCAAGCGUUACUCGGAAUUACUGGGCGUAAAGCGUGCGUAGGUGGUUCGUUAAGUCUGAUGUGAAAGCCCUGGGCUCAACCUGGGAAUGGCAUUGGAUACUGGCGACCUAGAGUGCGGUAGAGGGGUGUGGAAUUCCCGGUGUAGCAGUGAAAUGCGUAGAUAUCGGGAGGAACAUCUGUGGCGAAGGCGACACCCUGGACCAGCACUGACACUGAGGCACGAAAGCGUGGGGAGCAAACAGGAUUAGAUACCCUGGUAGUCCACGCCCUAAACGAUGCGAACUGGAUGUUGGGUGCAACUUGGCACUCAGUAUCGAAGCUAACGCGUUAAGUCCGCCGCCUGGGAGUACGGUCGCAAGACUG